GGGAGGUAGUGACAAUAAAUAACAAUACGGGGCUCAUUCGGGUCUCGUAAUUGGAAUGAGUACAAUUUAAAUCCCUUAACGAGGAACAAUUGGAGGGCAAGUCUGGUGCCAGCAGCCGCGGUAAUUCCAGCUCCAAUAGCGUAUAUUAAAGUUGUUGCAGUUAAAAAGCUCGUAGUUGAACUUCGGAAUUUGUUCAUUGGUCAGGCUUAACUGUCUGCACUGGUGUGACGAAUUUCUAUCUUCUGAGGAAUCUUCAUGUCAUUAAUUUGGUGUGGGGGGGAAUCCGGACUGUUACUUUGAAAAAUUAGAGUGUUUAAAGCAGGCUAACGUCUGAAUACAUUAGCAUGGAAUAAUGAAAUAGGACGGUUUGGUUCUAUUUUGUUGGUUUCUAGGAUCACCGUAAUGAUUAAUAGGGAUAGUUGGG
rnacentral:rRNA from 1 species